rnacentral:rRNA from 1 species
ACUCCUACGGGAGGCAGCAGUAGGGAAUCUUCCACAAUGGGUGCAAACCUGAUGGAGCAAUGCCGCGUGAGUGAAGAAGGUCUUCGGAUCGUAAAGCUCUGUUGUUAGAGAAGAACACGUGCUAGGUAACUACUAGCGCCUUGACGGUAUCUAACCAGAAAGUCACGGCUAACUACGUGCCAGCAGCCGCGGUAAUACGUAGGUGACAAGCGUUGUCCGGAUUUAUUGGGCGUAAAGGGAGCGCAGGCGGUCUGUUUAGUCUAAUGUGAAAGCCCACGGCUUAACCGUGGAACGGCAUUGGAAACUGACAGACUUGAAUGUAGAAUAGGAAAAUGGAAUUCCAAGUGUAGCGGUGGAAUGCGUAGAUAUUUGGAGGAACACCAGUGGCGAAGGCGAUUUUCUGGUCUAACAUUGACGCUGAGGCUCGAAAGCGUGGGGAGCGAACAGGAUUAGAUACCCCUGUAGUCCCAUGA